rnacentral:rRNA from 1 species
UACGAAGGGUGCAAACGUUGCUCGGAAUUAUUGGGCGUAAAGAGCUCGUAGGCGGUCUGUCGCGUCUGCCGUGAAAACCCGAGGCUUAACCUCGGGCUGGCGGUGGAUACGGGCAGACUAGAGGUAGGUAGGGGAGAAUGGAAUUCCCGGUGUAGCGGUGAAAUGCGCAGAUAUCGGGAGGAACACCGGUGGCGAAGGCGGUUCUCUGGGCCUUACCUGACGCUGAGGAGCGAAAGCGUGGGGAGCGAACAGG